UGGAGGGAAGGAAAAUUGUUUAAAAUACGCCAUAAUGAAACAGGAUUCUUUGUAGGAUAGCUGAAAACAAACAAAAGAGAUGGCAUCUAUGCUCUCUUGUUGACCUCUGCUGUCUGAGGCUCCUUUAAAUACUGGGCUUUUAAGGCUAUAUUAUAGGGACUGUUGUUUGGCCUUGUGUGCGCGCGCAUGCGCGCAUGUAAAUUCAGUUGUCAUUCUUCAGGCCCAUUCACCUUAGUUUUUUUUUCUUUCUGAUUUUAGACAGUCUCUGGCUAGAGCUUGCUAGGCUAGCUGGGCAAUGACCUCAGAGAUUAGAAGUGCACACCAACACACCCAGAUCUUUAUUGCCUGGGUUCUGAGGAUUGCACUUGGCUUGGAUGCCCAAUACUUUAUUGGUGAAGCCACCUCCUCCCAGCCCCUAUAAAUCCAUCACAUUAGACCUGGGAUCACUUUUAAAGUAUUAUUCCCUCUGUGUUUCUCUUUUUCUAUUUUAUUCCAAAAGGUGUAGAGUUGGCUUUUGGUACAGCAGUGAGAUACUAAUUCUGCAGGUGGUUUGUGGAGAGAGCUCUUGGCAUUCCAGGCUGAUGUUUUUUGUAUCACAUGGACAGCAGGCUCCUCAGAUCUUGGGUUUGGGACGACUGUGGCCCCUGCUGCUCACUUCAUUUCAACUUUGCGGAGAGCUACUGGUCAGAGAUUACAGCUAAAUCUCACGUUGCUGUAUUCCUGACUCACAGAGACUGUGGCAUAUUAAGGGCUUGUGUGAAGGCAGUAGAUCGUGGCCCCUUAACCUCCAUCCACUGAUUUUUGUAAAUAAAGUUUUAUUGGAAGCUAGCAAUGCCUAUCAGUGCCUGUAUUGUCUCUGCUGCUUCCAUACGACCUGAGCAGUAGAGACUGGUGGCUUCAUGAAGAGACCACAGCUUGAAUAUUUGCUACCUGGCCCUUGGAGAGAAAACUUGCUCAUCACUAAUACAAUGAAGUCCAAAGCUAGAACAGUGCUCUCCCUGUCCUCAAAAGAAUUUCCCUUUUCACUUGAGUUUAGUGCAAUCGGCAUUAACUGAGAGCCUACUGUGUACAGAAAUGGUUUCAGUCACACUUUGAAAUUCUGCCCUUAUUCUGUAUCACGGUCUCCUCCACUGGGGGUCUUAUACCACGCAUGCUGGGCUAGUGUUCAUGGAUAAGAAUGUAUGUCGUGAGCCUGGAGUGAGCAAAGUGCCCUUGACAAAACAAUAGGUCUGCGAUCUGGAGGAGAGCAGGGGCAAAGGCAUGUCCUCCUGCACGGUCCUAGCAUGAUCGCGUUGGCUGCGCCCUCCUAUCCUGGGCCCCAAGUGUCUCACCCUCUUCUCUAGCGCAAUCAUCCCGUAGCCAGAGGGGUUCAGUGGGCAUGGUGGGGGCUGCCUAGGUGUCGGAGGCUUCUGAGGUCUGCUCCCAGUGGUCCUGCUGCUGACUGAGCUUUGCAGGUGCCUCAGGGCACGUGCCUCACCUUUUGCUAUCUGCCCCUCCAUCCAGACGUGGAAUGUGGAUGAAGGAGGAUAAACCACUGCUGUCUUUCUGUCCAGAGCCAGGCUUCCCACCUGGUCCAUAAACCCGUACUAGGUAGUGCUGGUGGUGCAAUGGAGUUAGAGAUCUCUACUGAAGGAUCACCCCUCUUGGGGGUGGGGAGGGGACGAGGAGGCUACAAGGAGCAAGAAUGGGCUGAGGCCUCAGAGGUGGGGCAGUUUGAGUCCCUAAGGGCAUCCCACCUGAACUCAGCAGCAGGCUCAGUGUGCAGGUCUCCUGAGUUGGAACCCAGAAGCCUGUCUUACCAGCUGUGUGAGCUUCAGCACGGUGCAGUUCUUUGCCUUGCUUGCCUUCUCGGUGUCAGCAAUACACCCUGCCUUCUAGCAUUCUAGUGGGGGUGGGCCGACAUAGCAAGGACUGGAGGUAAUGACUCUCGAUAAUAAGCAUUCACAAAUGGAACAGCACUCAGAUUCCUGUGCCCAAACCACACAUCCAGAGGAUAAGGUGAUGGUGAGAUACCCAUUCUGUGGGUUGACUGGCCACUGACUAGGUCCUGGAUUCACCUGUUAUUUCAGCAUCAACUGGUUCUACGCUCUGCAUUCAGUGUAUUGGCUGGAGAGCUACUAGGUCCUGGGCUCUACAGGAGACCCUCUGUGUGCUCUUGGGGCUGACUUCCUGGUCAUGCCAACUGUUGUGUGGGUUGCUUUUGUCAACCUGACUUAAACCUAGAUAUGUUUGGGAAAAAGGAAUCGAGGAAAUACUUACAUCGGAUUGGCCUAGAGGCAAGCCUAUGUGGGGGGAGGUUUUCUUUAUUAAUGAUCGAUGUGGAAGGGAUCAUCCCACCAUCGAUUGGUGUCAUCUCUGGGCAGGUGGUCCUGGAGCAUCUAAGAAAGCAGGCUGAUGAACACGGGGAACAAGCUGAUGAACAGUGUUUCUCCAUGAAGUUGCUAUCCCCAGGUUCCUGCCCUGCUUGAGUUCCUGCCUUGGCUUCCCUCAGUGAUGAACUGUGAUAUGUAACCAUAAACUAAAUAAACCCUUUCCUUCCCAA